rnacentral:rRNA from 1 species
GAUGAACGCUGGCGGCGUGCCUAAUACAUGCAAGUCGAGCGAACGGACGAGAAGCUUGCUUCUCUGAUGUUAGCGGCGGACGGGUGAGUAACACGUGGAUAACCUACCUAUAAGACUGGGAUAACUUCGGGAAACCGGAGCUAAUACCGGAUAAUAUUUUGAACCGCAUGGUUCAAAAGUGAAAGACGGUCUUGCUGUCACUUAUAGAUGGAUCCGCGCUGCAUUAGCUAGUUGGUAAGGUAACGGCUUACCAAGGCAACGAUGCAUAGCCGACCUGAGAGGGUGAUCGGCCACACUGGAGCUGAGACACGGUCCAGACUCCUACGGGAGGCAGCAGUAGGGAAUCUUCCGCAAUGGGCGAAAGCCUGACGGAGCAACGCCGCGUGAGUGAUGAAGGUCUUCGGAUCGUAAAACUCUGUUAUUAGGGAAGAACAUAUGUGUAAGUAACUGUGCACAUCUUGACGGUACCUAAUCAGAAAGCCACGGCUAACUACGUGCCAGCAGCCGCGGUAAUACGUAGGUGGCAAGCGUUAUCCGGAAUUAUUGGGGCGUAAAGCGCGCGUAGGCGGUUUUUUAAGUCUGAUGUGAAAGCCCACGGCUCAACCGUGGAGGGUCAUUGGAAACUGGAAAACUUGAGUGCAGAAGAGGAAAGUGGAAUUCCAUGUGUAGCGGUGAAAUGCGCAGAGAUAUGGAGGAACACCAGUGGCGAAGGCGACUUUCUGGUCUGUAACUGACGCUGAUGUGCGAAAGCGUGGGGAUCAAACAGGAUUAGAUACCCUGGUAGUCCACGCCGUAAACGAUGAGUGCUAAGUGUUAGGGGGUUUCCGCCCCUUAGUGCUGCAGCUAACGCAUUAAGCACUCCGCCUGGGGAGUACGACCGCAAGGUUGAAACUCAAAGGAAUUGACGGGGACCCGCACAAGCGGUGGAGCAUGUGGUUUAAUUCGAAGCAACGCGAAGAACCUUACCAAAUCUUGACAUCCUUUGACAACUCUAGAGAUAGAGCCUUCCCCUUCGGGGGACAAAGUGACAGGUGGUGCAUGGUUGUCGUCAGCUCGUGUCGUGAGAUGUUGGGUUAAGUCCCGCAACGAGCGCAACCCUUAAGCUUAGUUGCCAUCAUUAAGUUGGGCACUCUAAGUUGACUGCCGGUGACAAACCGGAGGAAGGUGGGGAUGACGUCAAAUCAUCAUGCCCCUUAUGAUUUGGGCUACACACGUGCUACAAUGGACAAUACAAAGGGUAGCGAAACCGCGAGGUCAAGCAAAUCCCAUAAAGUUGUUCUCAGUUCGGAUUGUAGUCUGCAACUCGACUACAUGAAGCUGGAAUCGCUAGUAAUCGUAGAUCAGCAUGCUACGGUGAAUACGUUCCCGGGUCU